rnacentral:rRNA from 1 species
GAUGAAUGCUGGCGGCGUGCCUAACACAUGCAAGUCGAACGGUCUAGUCCGCAAGGAUUAGAUAGUGGCAGACGGGUGAGUAACACGUAGCAAACGUACCCCAGAUACGGGCAUAACUCCGCGAAAGCGGAGCUAAUUCCCGAUAUGCUCACAGGUUGAAAUACCAGUGAGGAAACGCUUUAGUGAUCUGGGAGCGGGCUGCGUCCUAUCAGCUUGNGGUGAGGUAAUGGCUCACCAAGGCUAUGACGGGUAGGGGAUCUGAGAGGAUGUUCCCCCACAGUGGCACUGGAGAUACGGGCCACACUCCUACGGGAGGCAGCAGUUGGGAAUCGUUCGCAAUGGAGGAAACUCUGACGAACGCGACGCCGCGUGGAGGAUUGAAGGCC